GAUGAACGCUGGCGGCGUGCCUAAUACAUGCAAGUCGAGCGAACAGACGAGGAGCUUGCUCCUCUGACGUUAGCGGCGGACGGGUGAGUAACACGGGGAUAACCUACCUAUAAGACUGGGGUAACUUCGGGAGACCGGAGCUAAGACCGGAUAAUAUAUUGAACCGCAUUGUGCAAUAGUGAAAGACGGUUUUGCGGUCACUUAUAGCUGGAUACGCGCCGCAUUAGCUAGUUGGUAAGGUAACGGCUUAACAAGGCAACGAUGGGAAACCGACCUGAGAGGGUGAUCGCCCACCUUGGAACUGAGAAACGGUCCAGACUCCUACGGGAGGCAGCAGUAGGGACUCUUCCGCAAUGGGCGAAAGCCUGACGGAGCACCGCGGCGUGAGUGCUGAAGGUCUUCGGAUCGUAAAACUCUGUUAUUAGGGAAGAACAAAUGUGUAAGUAACUAUGCUCGUCUUGACGGUACCUAAUCAGAAAGCCACGGCUAACUACGUG
rnacentral:rRNA from 1 species